CGUGGCGGAGCGCCCGGACGUGGGCGGGGGCGCCCCGCCCGGCGCCCCCGCCCGGGGGCGCCCUCCGGUCCGGCCCGGGUGCUCCGU
rnacentral:tRNA from 1 species